rnacentral:rRNA from 1 species
CCUACGGGAGGCAGCAGUGGGGGAUAUUGCACAAUGGGGGAAACCCUGAUGCAGCGACGCCGCGUGAGUGAAGAAGUAUCUCGGUGUGUAAAGCCCUAUCAGCAGGGAAGAAAAUGACAGUACCUGAGGAAGAAGCCCCGUCUAACUACGUGCCAGCAGCCGCGGUAAUACGUAGGGGGCAAGCGUUAUCCGGAUUUACUGGGUGUAAAGGGAGCGUAGACGGUUAUGUAAGUCAGGAGUGAAAGCCCGGGGCCCAACCCCGGGACUGCUGUGGGAACUGUGGAGCUGGAGUGCAGGAGGGGCAGGCGGAAUUCGUGGUGUAGCGGUGAAAUGCGUAGAUAUCACGAGGAACACCGGUGGCGAAGGCAGCCUGCUGGACUGCAACUGACGUUGAGGCUCGAAAGCGUGGGGAGCGAACAGGAUUAGAUACCCCAGUAGUC